GAAGCGCGCCAGACCGCCGCUGGUGCACGUGCCGAAAGGCCGCACUGGAGGAACGUCCGGACUGCACAGGACGGCGUAGCAGCUAACGGCUGUCCACCGCGAGGUGAGGAUCAGAGCAACAGAGACGAGUCCGGAAGGAGUGCCGCAAGGCAGACCAGCCGGGGUGAAACGGGCAAUCUCUACGCGCAGCAAUACCAAGUAGGCCAGCGUUGACGUGGUUCCGCGGAGCUGGCGGGUAGGUAGCAUCGAGCCGGGUGGGCGACCCCCGGCCCAGAGUAAUGGCGGUCACGUGCGGGCAACCGCAUGCACAGAAUCCGGCUUAUCGGCGCGCUUCACAC
rnacentral:RNase_P_RNA from 17 species